UACGUAGGGCGCAAGCGUUGUCCGGAAUUAUUGGGCGUAAAGAGCUCGUAGGCGGCCUGUUGCGUCCGCUGUGAAAUCCCGGGGCUUAACCCCGGGCCUGCAGUGGAUACGGGCAGGCUGGAGGCAGGCAGGGGAGAACGGAAUUCCCGGUGUAGCGGUGAAAUGCGCAGAUAUCAAGAGGAACACCGGUGGCGAAGGCGGGUCUCUGGGCCGAUACUGACGCUGGAGGAGCGAAAGCGUGGGGAGCGAACAGG
rnacentral:rRNA from 1 species